rnacentral:piRNA from 1 species
UGAGAAGGAUUCAUUUUGACGUGUGCGU